GAAGGCGGCCAGAGCGGUGGAGGAACACCCGUACCCAUUCCGAACACGGAAGUUAAGCCCACCAGCGUACCGGGAAGUACUGGAGUGAGCGAUCCUCUGGGAACCGCGGUUCGCCGCCUACCC
rnacentral:rRNA from 1 species